GAGUUUGAUCAUGGCUCAGGACGAACGCUGGCGGCGUGCCUAAUACAUGCAAGUCGAGCGAGCGGAACCAACAGAUUUACUUCGGUAAUGACGUUGGGAAAGCGAGCGGCGGAUGGGUGAGUAACACGUGGGGAACCUGCCCCUAAGUCUGGGAUACCAUUUGGAAACAGGUGCUAAUACCGGAUAAUAAAGCAGAUCGCAUGAUCAGCUUUUGAAAGGCGGCGUAAGCUGUCGCUAAGGGAUGGCCCCGCGGUGCAUUAGCUAGUUGGUAAGGUAACGGCUUACCAAGGCGACGAUGCAUAGCCGAGUUGAGAGACUGAUCGGCCACAUUGGGACUGAGACACGGCCCAAACUCCUACGGGAGGCAGCAGUAGGGAAUCUUCCACAAUGGACGCAAGUCUGAUGGAGCAACGCCGCGUGAGUGAAGAAGGUUUUCGGAUCGUAAAGCUCUGUUGUUGGUGAAGAAGGAUAGAGGUAGUAACUGGCCUUUAUUU
rnacentral:rRNA from 1 species